rfam:Cylindrobasidium torrendii FP15055 ss-10 unplaced genomic scaffold CYLTOscaffold_75, whole genome shotgun sequence.
GGGCGUUUAGCUCAGUGGUAGAGCGCCCGCUUUGCAUGCGGGAGGUCCGGGUUUCAAUCACCCGAGUGUCCA